UCCGAGUGAGCUUUUCGGCUCGGCCCGAAGCUCGCUCCAGCUCGGCCCGUUACAGCUCGGCCUGAUACAAUAAACGAGCGAGCCCAGUUGGGAAAAGAGGCCCGAUUCCCAACCGAGCCGAGCCGAGUUUCGCUCGGUCCAACUCGGUGACUCGCUCGAGGCCCAGCCCAAUUCGUCCAUCUCCAUCGCACGCAACGCAUUAGGGCACGAGAGACGCAGAGAGAGCGCCGCCUCCCCUUUCUCUGCUCUGUGCUGCCUCGCCCCUUUCUCUGCUCUGCGCCGCAAAGCUGGAUGGACGGCGACGAGCGACGCCGCGUUUCCUAACCGCACCGACAGCAACAGGCUCGACGGCGACGGGCGACGCCACCUUUCCUCACCACACGGACGCGUCUCCCCUGGUUUCUCGCCGAACGUGACGACCAGGAGCAGAGGCCUAUCGUCGCAACAAUAGACAAAGAAAAGGGGAAGGCGAAUGGGAAGGAGAAGGAGAAAGAGAGGACCUUGGAAUCCAUUAUGAAGAGUAAGUUGCCGGUAUCGGGGACCUCCGCCUCAACGUCCCCCUGACCCCACCGGCGCUGCCGUGGGUGCCGGAAUCGCCACUGCCUCCGGCUCCGCAAUCGACUAUGAGAGGGAGGCUACAUCUUCCCAGGUAUGUGCGUGCAAAAUAUAUAUUUUGUGCAAGCUCAUGUAUGUGCUGUUUUUGCUUUUUGGAAGUCAAAUUUAUGUGUUCCCAGGCUCAUAUGUGCUGUUUUUGGUAUCCAAAUGUCAAAUAUAUGUUUGUGCAAGCCUGCAAUGGCCUCCUCCUCUGCCGCUGAUGGAAGGCGACGACUCAUCCCAAGAUAAUGGAUUAUGUGGUGUGCAAUCCCACUACUCAGAAAUGGGUGGCCAUGCCUGCCACUGACUGGUCCAGAAUGGUGAGCGUCGCUCGCCUAGGAUUCGACCCAGCCGUUUCUUCCGAUUUCCGUGUAUUUGAGUUCAUUGAUGAGGAGUCAUGGGGUAUAGCUGAGGAUGAGCUUGAUGGGGAUUGCUGUGGACGCAUCGAAACACUAGCAAUAUACUCAUCCGAAGCUGGAGCUUGGAAAUACGAAACAGUUGAUAUUGGUCCAUUUGCGAUACCCAAGAAUUCAGUAAGCGCAUUUUUUAAUGGAAUCUUGCAUCUGGCUGACUCAUUUGAGUGGAUAGUAGCUGUUGAUGUGGAAGGAGCUAAUUGGUGGCUCAUUGAUGCUCCUGAGCCACCAUACUAUGCUGAUUGGUGUAGGUGGCAUAUUUCCAUCACAGGGACGGUUGUAUUUUGCUGAUUCUGUCAUUCUGAUGGUUCUAAACUAUCAAUCUUUGUUCUUGAGGACUACGUUACAGGAAAAUGGACUUUGAAGCACAAUGUGAGCCACUUGCAGUUAUUCAGAACAGAGUAUUCAUCGUAUGCGAAUAAUUAUAAUGUUGUUUCUAUCCAUCCAGAACACAGUUUGGUUUUUAUAGUCGGUGGAGUUGAGAAGACACUAAUGUUAUACGACAUGGAUUCUAGACAGCUGUGUUUUAUAUGUCAACUUGGCUCUGAGUGUAAGCUUGAAUGGCAAAGGCCUGAAUGCGGCAAAAAGACUCCUCCUUUU